UACGAAGGGGGCUAGCGUUGCCCGGAAUCACUGGGCGUAAAGCGCACGUAGGCGGCUUCUUAAGUCAGGGGUGAAAUCCUGGAGCUCAACUCCAGAACUGCCUUUGAUACUGAGGAGCUUGAGUCCGGGAGAGGUGAGUGGAACUGCGAGUGUAGAGGUGAAAUUCGUAGAUAUUCGCAAGAACACCAGUGGCGAAGGCGGCUCACUGGCCCGGUACUGACGCUGAGGUGCGAAAGCGUGGGGAGCAAACAGG
rnacentral:rRNA from 1 species